AUUGAACGCUGGCGGCAUGCCUUACACAUGCAAGUCGAACGGUAACGGGCCUUCGGGUGCCGACGAGUGGCGAACGGGUGAGUAAUACAUCGGAACGUGCCCGAUCGUGGGGGAUAACGAGGCGAAAGCUUUGCUAAUACCGCAUACGAUCUACGGAUGAAAGCAGGGGACCGCAAGGCCUUGCGCGGACGGAGCGGCCGAUGGCAGAUUAGGUAGUUGGUGGGAUAAAAGCUUACCAAGCCGACGAUCUGUAGCUGGUCUGAGAGGAUGAUCAGCCACACUGGGACUGAGACACGGCCCAGACCCCUACGGGAGGCAGCAGUGGGGAAUGUUGGACAAUGGGCGCAAGCCUGAUCCAGCCAUGCCGCGUGCAGGAUGAAGGCCUUCGGGUUGUAAACUGCUUUUGUACGGAACGAAAAGCCUUCUUUUAAUACAGGAGGGUCAUGACGGUACCGUAAGAAUAAGCACCGGCUAACUACGUG
rnacentral:rRNA from 1 species